UUAAGCCCCAGUAAACGGCGGUGGUAACUAUAACCAUCCUAAGGUAGCGAAAUUCCUUGUCGGGUAAGUUCCGACCUGCACGAAUGGCGUAACGACUUCUCAGCUGUCUCAACCAUAGACUCGGCGAAAUUGCAUUACGAGUAAAGAUGCUCGUUACGCGCGGCAGGACGAAAAGACCCCGGGACCUUCACUACAGCUUGGUAUUGGUGUUCGGUUCGGUUUGUGUAGGAUAGGUGGGAGACUGUGAAGCGGUGACGCCAGUUACUGUGGAGUCGUUGUUGAAAUACCACUCUGAUCGUAUUGGAUACCUCAACCUCGGACCAUGAUCUGGUUCAGGGACAGUGCCUGGUGGGUAGUUUAACUGGGGCGGUUGCCUCCCAAAAUGUAACGGAGGCGCCCAAAGGUUCCCUCAGCCUGGUUGGCAAUCAGGUGUCGAGUGCAAGUGCACAAGGGAGCUUGACUGUGAGACUGACAAGUCGAGCAGGGACGAAAGUCGGGACUAGUGAUCCGGCACCGGCAAGUGGAAGCGGUGUCGCUCAACGGAUAAAAGGUACCCCGGGGAUAACAGGCUGAUCUUCCCCAAGAGUCCAUAUCGACGGCAUGGUUUGGCACCUCGAUGUCGGCUCGUCGCAUCCUGGGGCUGGAGUAGGUCCCAAGGGUUGGGCUGUUCGCCCAUUAAAGCGGCACGCGAGCUGGGUUUAGAACGUCGUGAGACAGUUCGGUCUCUAUCCGCCGCGCGCGUAAGAAACUUGAGGAAGGCUGUCCCUAGUACGAGAGGACCGGGACGGACGAACCUCUGGUGUGCCAGUUGUUCCACCAGGAGCACCGCUGGUUGGCUACGUUCGGAAGGGAUAACCGCUGAAAGCAUCUAAGCGGGAAGCCUGUUCCAAGAUGAGGUUUCUCACCCCCUCGAGGGGGUAAGGCCCCCGGCAGACCACCGGGUUGAUAGGCCAGAACUGGAAGUACAGCAAUGUAUGCAGGUGACUGGUACUAAUAGGCCGAGGACUUACCACAA
rnacentral:rRNA from 1 species